rnacentral:rRNA from 1 species
GGGUUGUGAGGUUAAGCGACUAAGCGUACACGGUGGAUGCCCUGGCAGUCAGAGGCGAUGAAGGGCGUGCUAAUCUGCGAUAAGCGCCGGUAAGGUGAUAUGAACCGUUAUAACCGGCGAUACCCGAAUGGGGAAACCCAGUGUGAUUCGUCACACUAUCAUUAACUGAAUCCAUAGGUUAAUGAGGCGAACCGGGGGAACUGAAACAUCUAAGUACCCCGAGGAAAAGAAAUCAACCGAGAUUCCCCCAGUAGCGGCGAGCGAACGGGGAGGAGCCCAGAGCCUGAAUCAGCAUGUGUGUUAGUGGAAGCGUCUGGAAAGGCGCGCGAUACAGGGUGACAGCCCCGUACACAAAAGCGCAUGUGCUGUGAGCUCGAUGAGUAGGGCGGGACACGUGGUAUCCUGUCUGAAUAUGGGGGGACCAUCCUCCAAGGCUAAAUACUCCUGACUGACCGAUAGUGAACCAGUACCGUGAGGGAAAGGCGAAAAGAACCCCGGCGAGGGGAGUGAAAAAGAACCUGAAACCGUGUACGUACAAGCAGUGGGAGCNNNNNNNNNNNGGGCGUUAAGUUGCAGGGUAUAGACCCGAAACCCGGUGAUCUAGCCAUGGGCAGGUUGAAGGUUGGGUAACACUAACUGGAGGACCGAACCGACUAAUGUUGAAAAAUUAGCGGAUGACCUGUGGCUGGGGGUGAAAGGCCAAUCAAACCGGGAGAUAGCUGGUUCUCCCCGAAAGCUAUUUAGGUAGCGCCUCGUGAAUUCAUCUCCGGGGGUAGAGCACUGUUUCGGCUAGGGGGCCAUCCCGGCUUACCAACCCGAUGCAAACUGCGAAUACCGGAGAAUGUUAUCACGGGAGACACACGGCGGGUGCUAACGUCCGUCGUGAAGAGGGAAACAACCCAGACCGCCAGCUAAGGUCCCAAAGUCAUGGUUAAGUGGGAAACGAUGUGGGAAGGCCCAGACAGCCAGGAUGUUGGCUUAGAAGCAGCCAUCAUUUAAAGAAAGCGUAAUAGCUCACUGGUCGAGUCGGCCUGCGCGGAAGAUGUAACGGGGCUAAACCAUGCACCGAAGCUGCGGCAGCGACACUGUGUGUUGUUGGGUAGGGGAGCGUUCUGUAAGCCUGCGAAGGUGGCCUGUGAGGGUUGCUGGAGGUAUCAGAAGUGCGAAUGCUGACAUAAGUAACGAUAAAGCGGGUGAAAAGCCCGCUCGCCGGAAGACCAAGGGUUCCUGUCCAACGUUAAUCGGGGCAGGGUGAGUCGACCCCUAAGGCGAGGCCGAAAGGCGUAGUCGAUGGGAAACGGGUUAAUAUUCCCGUACUUGGUGUUACUGCGAAGGGGGGACGGAGAAGGCUAUGUUGGCCGGGCGACGGUUGUCCCGGUUUAAGCGUGUAGGUGUGUGUUCCAGGUAAAUCCGGUUCACUUUAACACUGAGGCGUGACGACGAGGCACUACGGUGCUGAAGCAACAAAUGCCCUGCUUCCAGGAAAAGCCUCUAAGCAUCAGGUAACAUCAAAUCGUACCCCAAACCGACACAGGUGGUCAGGUAGAGAAUACCAAGGCGCUUGAGAGAACUCGGGUGAAGGAACUAGGCAAAAUGGUGCCGUAACUUCGGGAGAAGGCACGCUGACACGUAGGUGAAGUGAUUUACUCAUGGAGCUGAAGUCAGUCGAAGAUACCAGCUGGCUGCAACUGUUUAUUAAAAACACAGCACUGUGCAAACACGAAAGUGGACGUAUACGGUGUGACGCCUGCCCGGUGCCGGAAGGUUAAUUGAUGGGGUCAGCGCAAGCGAAGCUCCUGAUCGAAGCCCCGGUAAACGGCGGCCGUAACUAUAACGGUCCUAAGGUAGCGAAAUUCCUUGUCGGGUAAGUUCCGACCUGCACGAAUGGCGUAAUGAUGGCCAGGCUGUCUCCACCCGAGACUCAGUGAAAUUGAACUCGCUGUGAAGAUGCAGUGUACCCGCGGCAAGACGGAAAGACCCCGUGAACCUUUACUAUAGCUUGACACUGAACAUUGAGCCUUGAUGUGUAGGAUAGGUGGGAGGCUUUGAAGUGUGGACGCCAGUCUGCAUGGAGCCGACCUUGAAAUACCACCCUUUAAUGUUUGAUGUUCUAACGUGGACCCGUUACCCGGGUUGCGGACAGUGUCUGGUGGGUAGUUUGACUGGGGCGGUCUCCUCCUAAAGAGUAACGGAGGAGCACGAAGGUUGGCUAAUCCUGGUCGGACAUCAGGAGGUUAGUGCAAUGGCAUAAGCCAGCUUGACUGCGAGCGUGACGGCGCGAGCAGGUGCGAAAGCAGGUCAUAGUGAUCCGGUGGUUCUGAAUGGAAGGGCCAUCGCUCAACGGAUAAAAGGUACUCCGGGGAUAACAGGCUGAUACCGCCCAAGAGUUCAUAUCGACGGCGGUGUUUGGCACCUCGAUGUCGGCUCAUCACAUCCUGGGGCUGAAGUAGGUCCCAAGGGUAUGGCUGUUCGCCAUUUAAAGUGGUACGCGAGCUGGGUUUAGAACGUCGUGAGACAGUUCGGUCCCUAUCUGCCGUGGGCGCUGGAGAACUGAGGGGGGCUGCUCCUAGUACGAGAGGACCGGAGUGGACGCAUCACUGGUGUUCGGGUUGUCAUGCCAAUGGCACUGCCCGGUAGCUAAAUGCGGAAGAGAUAAGUGCUGAAAGCAUCUAAGCACGAAACUUGCCCCGAGAUGAGUUCUCCCUGAGACUUAGAGUCUCCUGAAGGAACGUUGAAGACGACGACGUUGAUAGGCCGGGUGUGUAAGCGCAGCGAUGCGUUGAGCUAACCGGUACUAAUGAACCGUGAGGCUUAACCUUACAACGCCGAAG